rnacentral:rRNA from 1 species
GAUGAACGCUGGCGGCGUGCUUAACACAUGCAAGUCGAACGGACUGCGGGAGCUUGCUCCCAAAGUUAGUGGCGGACGGGUGAGUAACGCGUGGGUAACCUACCCUAUGCAGGGGGAUAACAUUUGGAAACAAAUGCUAAUACCGCAUAAUCUAAGUUUUUCGCAUGAGAACUUAGCAAAGGAUUUAUCGGCAUAGGAUGGACCCGCGUUGGAUUAGCUAGUUGGUGAGAUAAAAGCUCACCAAGGCCACGAUCCAUAGCCGGCCUGAGAGGGUGAACGGCCACACUGGGACUGAGACACGGCCCAGACUCCUACGGGUGGCAG